AUGAUGUUCCACAGAUUAGCUGAUGUACCUGUGGUACUAUUAUGGCUCGGCGCAGUGCUUGCCGCAACGCCACAACCUAGCAGCAAGUGCCAAAGAAAAUGCGGCAGCAUAGACAUCCCUUACCCAUUCGGCAUCGUCCAUUCACCCGACGACGACGACGGCCACUGCACCAUGAACGGCUUCGGCCUGACCUGCAACGAGACCGGCAUUGAUGGUGGGCGCCACAGGCCAUUUUAUGGCGACGUGGAGGUCGUCGGCGUCUCGCUGCAGCAAGGUCAGGCUCGGAUGCUGAAUGAUAUCUCCUAUUAUUGCUACAACACCAUCACUCGGGAGAUGGACCGCGACGAGUGGUGGCUGAACUUUGUGGGCACACCCUUGAGGUUCUCUGACACCACCAACAAGUUCACGGUCAUCGGUUGCGAAACGCUGGCAUACAUCAACGGCGAUGACAGCAACCACGGCGAUGAUGGCGAUUACGGCGGCAAGUACAUGAGCGGGUGCGUGGCCAUGUGCCGGGGAGACGAUGUGAGGUCGACCCUGAGCAACGGCUCCUGCUCCGGGAUAGGGUGCUGCCAGACCGCCAUCCCCGGGGGGCUGCAGUACUACCACGUGGAGUUUGACUCUGCCUUUAACACGACGGAGAUCCACAACGUCAGCCGCUGCAGCUACGCGGUGCUCAUGGACUCGUCCAACUUCACCUUCUCGACCACCUAUGUGGCCUGGCCGGUGUUCAUGAAUAACUACGGCGGCCAGGCGCCGUUCGUCAUGGAUUGGUCUAUCGGGAAUGAGACAUGCGACAUAGCCCGUAAGAAACCUGGGUCAUACGCGUGUGUCAGCGACAACAGCGAGUGCUUCAACUCGCUCAAUGGACCAGGCUACAUCUGCAACUGCUCCAAAGGCUUCCAUGGUAAUCCUUACCUGCAAGAUCCGGAGCACGGAUGCAAAGACAUUGAUGAAUGCAAGCUCCCCCAAUUGUAUCGCUGCACAAAUGGCGGGGUCUGCAGAAACAGGCUAGGAGGCUAUGACUGCCCAUGCAAAUUUAGAUGGAAAGCCGACGCCAAAGCGGGAACUUGCAUAGAUCAUUUCCCUCUAGCAGCUAAGGUGGUAGUCGAGAAAAGGAAGAUGGCAGAAUUCUUCAAAAAGAAUGGCGGCCCUACAUUAGAGAAGGCAACAAGCAUUGAAAUUUUCAAAUAUGAGGACCUCAAGUCAUUUCUAAAGAGAAACAACUUAAUUGCAAAUGGUUCCUUUGGUGAAGUUUACAAGGGCCUUCUUGAAAAUAAACUAGUUGCAAUAAAGAAGCCGAUUAAUGGUACCGUGCGAGAGAAUGAACAAUUUGCAAAUGAAGUCAUCAUCCAAUCUCAACUCAUCCACAAGAACAUUGUUAGGCUCAUUGGUUGUUGCCCUGAAGUUGAAGCCCCCCUCCUGGUCUAUGAGUUUAUCUCCCAAGGUAGCCUCCAUAACAUUCUUCACAACAACAAUAACAAGGUGGCUCUCAACUUGGAUGCACGUUUAAGAAUUGCUGCACAUUCAGCGGAUGGUCUAGCUUAUAUGCACUCACAAGCAAACACUAGAAUUCUACACGGUGAUGUCAAACCAGCAAAUAUACUCUUGGAUGAGAACUUUGCACCCAAAAUUUUAGACUUUGGCAUAUCUAGGUUGCUUGCAACGAACAAACAACACACUACGUCAAUCAUCGGCGAUGUGAAUUACAUGGAUCCAGUAUAUCUACAAGAAGGCCUACUCACCAAAAAAAAUGAUGUCUACAAGAAGGCCUACUCACCGAAAAAAAUGGACAUAUCUAGAACUGCAAUACAUCUAGAUACAUCCAUUUUUUCAACAAGUAUUUACGGAAGAAGGUAG
rnacentral:rRNA from 1 species